rnacentral:rRNA from 1 species
GCUUGAAAUGCUUACCACCUCGAGCACGCUCGAUCUCAUCUGACUUCAGAAGCCAAGCAGGGUYGGCCCUGGUUAGUACCCGGAUAGGAGAACGCCUGGGAAUACCAGGCGCUGUGAGCU